CCUACGGGCGGCUGCAGUGGGGAAUUUUGGACAAUGGGGGCAACCCUGAUCCAGCCAUGCCGCGUGCGGGAAGAAGGCCUUCGGGUUGUAAACCGCUUUUGUCAGGGAAGAAAUCUUCCGAGCUAAUACCUUGGGAGGAUGACGGUACCUGAAGAAUAAGCACCGGCUAACUACGUGCCAGCAGCCGCGGUAAUACGUAGGGUGCUAGCGUUAAUCGGAGCUACUGCAGGCAAAGCGUGCAGACGCGGUUGAAAUCCCCGGGCUUAACCUGGGAACUGCACGUGUGACUGUACGGCUGGAGUACGGCAGAGGGGGAUGGAAUUCCGCGUGUAGCAGUGAAAUGCGUAGAUAUGCGGAGGAACACCGAUGGCGAAGGCAGUCCCCUGGGCCUGUACUGACGCUCAUGCACGAAAGCGUGGGGAGCAAACAGGAUUAGAUACCCUAGUAGUC
rnacentral:rRNA from 1 species